UACGAAGGGGGCUAGCGUUGUUCGGAGUUACUGGGCGUAAAGGGCGCGUAGGCGGCGCACCAAGUCAGGCGUGAAAGCCCUGGGCUCAACCCGGGAAUUGCGCUUGAGACUGGUGUGCUUGAGUACGGGAGAGGAUAGUGGAAUUCCCAGUGUAGAGGUGAAAUUCGUAGAUAUUGGGAAGAACACCGGUGGCGAAGGCGGCUACCUGGACCGUAACUGACGCUGAGGCGCGAAAGCGUGGGGAGCAAACAGG
rnacentral:rRNA from 1 species